AUGGGUUGUACUAUGAGCUUUGGGUGUUUUUCAAAAAAAAAAAAAAAGAAUCAGGCUUCGAUGGGUUGUACUAUGGGCUUUGGGUGUUUUUCAAAAAAAAAGGAUCAUGUGUUCGCUUCAUAUCGAUCGGUUUCUCUGGCCUACAAUUGAAGAACCCUAGACAAACCUCAAAACAAAGUGAAAAUAAAGUGUUUGCUAGAACCCUCAACGUCUUCUUCCAUUGCUAAAAAAUCAUACCAGCCGCUUGUCCUGUAACCCGUCCGAAUCCGUCUUCUUCGUCUUCACAACAACACGAUCCUAAGCAGGUGUUAAGUUAACACUACAUGGUCUUCUUCACCACUGACUCUAUCUACAAAUCAAAGUUGGUUCGAGGGUUUUGCCACCUAUAUAAUGGUGAAUAGGCGGUGUAAGCGACAUGGGGGCUGCAAUCACUAAAAAGGACCGCGUAUAACAGUCUCUCUAGAAUUUGGGGUUUUCGUGCACAAUUUGGGAGCUGAAUUUUAUCUUAUGAAAGAUUAAGAGAUCAAUUUCAGAUAGCGAGAAUAGGUGAUUACAUCUAGAGCAGGGGGUGAUCUAAAUUUGGCUUCAAAAAAAGCCCAAGAAGCAGGCAUAAUUAUACUUUCCGUUGUCAGUUUCAUUUUAACAAAUAAGUGUUGUUGAACAUGUUUGUUAGUAAAUAGAGUUACUAAAUUAUAUUUAAUUCUUUUUUGUAUCAUUUUUUUGUUCAACUUGUGACAGGAAGUGUUAAGAUGAGUAAUAGUGACUACUUUUUGGCAAUACUAGAACCAACAAUGUCUUAAGCAUCCGUGUGUAAUGAUGCUUUGGUGAGGGGAAAUUAUCAUGCGUUGUUUUCAGUUGCACAAGAUUUGAGUGAAGUAAGAAGUUUUUUUUGUAGAUGUGUGUACAUUUUUUUAUGAUUGUGAAUUGGAUGUUGUUGUGUAGUGUUUUACUUAGAAGUAGCAAAAUUUGUUAAGUUUGUUGACUACCAGAGCUGUAUACUUUAUCCUUUUAUUGUUCGUUAACGUGAUGAAGAAAGAAGACGUCACCUGAGGGCUAAAGUUCAGCGAUGCUCCAAAGAAAGAUGAUGUAAUGAUUUGCGUGGGAAACAAAGUUUUGC
rnacentral:lncRNA from 1 species